UUUUUAAUGCUACUAGCUCUAUUACAAUGUAGUAUUUGAUACUACACUCUCUGAACCUACUACUAAAACACAAGGAGCUAAUAACGCUUCCACUGAAACUCGAACUCACAACCUUCCAAAUGAAAAUCCAACCCGGGUACCAUUGGACCACAUAGGCCUGGUGGCAGCAGCUAAA